rnacentral:rRNA from 1 species
UACAGAGGGUGCUAGCGUUGUUCGGAAUUAUUGGGCGUAAAGGGCGCGUAGGCGGUUUCGCAUGUCCGAUGUGAAAGCCCACCUCUUAAAGGUGGAAUUGCAUCGGAAACUGCGAGACUAGAGUGCCGGAGAGGGUGGUGGAAUUCCUGGUGUAGAGGUGAAAUUCGUAGAUAUCAGGAGGAACACCGGUGGCGAAGGCGGCCACCUGGACGGUUACUGACGCUGAGGCGCGAAAGCGUGGGGAGCAAAC